UACGUAGGGUGCGAGCGUUAAUCGGAAUUACUGGGCGUAAAGCGUGCGCAGGCGGUUUUGUAAGUUUGUCGUGAAAGCCCCGGGCUCAACCUGGGAAUUGCGAUGAAGACUGCAAGGCUUGAAUCUGGCAGAGGGGGGUAGAAUUCCACGUGUAGCAGUGAAAUGCGUAGAGAUGUGGAGGAACACCGAUGGCGAAGGCAGCCCCUGGGUCAAGAUUGACGCUCAUGCACGAAAGCGUGGGGAGCAAACAGG
rnacentral:rRNA from 1 species